rnacentral:tRNA from 1 species
GGGAUCGUGGCGCAGUUGGCCAGCGCGUAAGUCUCAUAGUGGAGCAUAAAAAUGUUGCAAAAAAGGCACCUUUUUAGCCUCGCCAUCUUAAGGUCGUGAGUUCGAGCCUCACCGAUCCCA